rnacentral:rRNA from 1 species
CCUACGGGCGGCUGCAGUAGGGAAUCUUUCACAAUGGGCGAAAGCCUGAUGGAGCAACGCCGCGUGCAGGAUGAAGGCCUUCGGGUUGUAAACUGCUUUUAUAAGCGAGAAAUAUGAUGGUAACUUAUGAAUAGGAAUGGCCAACUACGUGCCAGCCGCCGCGGUCAUACGUAGGAUCCGAGCAUUAUCCGGAGUGACCGGGUGUAAAGAGUUGCGUAGGUGGCAUAAUUAGUAGCUAGUGAAAUCUGGUGGCUCAACCAUUCAGACUAUUAGCUAAACUGGUAAGCUCGAGACCGUUAGGGGUAACUGGAAUUUCUAGUGUAGGAGUGAAAUCCGUAGAUAUUAGAAGGAACACCAAUAGCGUAGGCAGGUUGCUGGGACGGUUCUGACACUAAGGCACGAAAGCGUAGGGAGCAAACGGGAUUAGAUACCCUUGUAGUC